rnacentral:rRNA from 1 species
UACGUAGGGCGCAAGCGUUGUCCGGAUUUAUUGGGCGUAAAGAGCUCGUAGGCGGUUUGUCGCGUCUUCCGUGAAAACUGGAGGCUCAACCUUCAGAGGUCGACCGAAACCAUCUGGCUAGAGUCCGGGAGAGGAGAGUGGAAUUCCUGGUGUAGCGGUGAAAUGCGCAGAUAUCAGGAAGAACACCCGUGACGAAAGCGGCUCUCUGGAACGGUACUGACGCUGAGACGCGAAAGCGUGGGGAGCGAACAGG